rnacentral:rRNA from 1 species
AAGAGUGAAACUCAAAGGAAUUGACGGGGACCCGCACAAGUGGUGGAGCAUGUGGUUUAAUUCGAAGCAACACGAAGAACCUUACCAGGACUUGACAUCCAGUGCAAAGCUAUAGAGAUAUAGUGGAGGUUAACAUUGAGACAGGUGGUGCAUGGUUGUCGUCAGUUCGUGCCGUGAGGUGUUGG